AGCGAACGCUGGCGGCAGGCUUAACACAUGCAAGUCGAGCGGGCGUAGCAAUACGUCAGCGGCAGACGGGUGAGUAACGCGUGGGAACGUACCUUUUGGUUCGGAACAACCCAGGGAAACUUGGACUAAUACCGAAUAAGCCCUUACGGGGAAAGAUUUAUCGACGAAAGAUCGGCCCGCGUCUGAUUAGCUAGUUGGUGAGGUAACGGCCCACCAAGGCGACGAUCAGUAGCUGGUCUGAGAGGAUGAUGAGCCACAUAGGGACUGAGACACGGCCCAAAUUCCUACGGGAGGCUGCAGUGGGGAAUAUUGGACAAUCGGCGCAAGCCUGAUACUACGAUGCCGCGUGAGUGAUGAAAGCCGUUGGGUUGUAAAGCUCUUUUGUGCGGGAAGAUAAUGACGGUAACGCAAGAAUAAGCCCCCGCUAACUUCGUGCCAGCAGCCGCGGUAAAAC
rnacentral:rRNA from 1 species